rnacentral:lncRNA from 1 species
GUCUUUUUGCCUUUUCUAGGGCUGCUCCCAUGGCACAUGGAGGUUUCCAGGCUAGGGGUUGAAGUGGAGCUGUAGCCGCUGGUCUACGCCAUAGCCACAGCAACGUGGGAUCUGAGCCGAGUCUGUGACCAAUACCACAGCUCACAGCAACGCCAGAUCCUUAACCCACUGAACAAGGUCAGGGAUCAAACCCACAACCUCAUGGUUCCUAGUCAGAUUCGUUAACCACUGAGCCACGAUGGGAACUCCUUGCCUCACUGUUGAUGGUGCUAACUGAGCAAGUGGUGGCUGCUCAAAGUUGGGGUGGAUAUGACAGUUUCUUAAAAUGAGACAAUGAAGUUUGACUCAUGGAUUGGCUCUUCCCUUCAUGAACCAUCUGUAUGUAGUACACAAUGCUUUUUGACAACAUUUUGUCCACAGUAGGACUUCUUUCAAAAUUGGAGCCAAUCCUCUCAAAUCUUGAUGCUGCUUUAUGAACUUAGUUUAUGUAAUACUCUAAAUCCUUUGUUGUCAUUUCAACAAUUCUCACAGCAUCUUCACCAGGAGUAGAUGUUCACUUUCAUUGCUCAUCCUUAGGAAGCAACUCUGCAUCCAUUCAAGUUUUGCAUGAGAUUGCAGCCAUUUAGUCACAUCUUCAGGCUCUGCUUCUAAUUCUAGUUCUCUUGCUAUUUCUACCACAUUUGCAGUUACUUCCUCCACUUAGGUUUUAUACUCCUCAAACUCAUUUAUGAGUGCUGGAAUUAACUUCUUCCAAGCUCUUGCUAAUGUUGACAUUUUGGCCUCUUUCUGUAAAUCACAAAUUAAAAAAAAUUUUUUUUUUCCAGCCACCCUCAGGGCAUAUGUAAGUUCUCUGCCUGGGAUGGAAUCCAAGCCGGAGCUGUGACCUAUGCCUGCUGCAGCAACACUGGAUACUUAACCCACUGCACCGGCCUGGGUACUGAACCAGCGCCCCCAGAGGCAAGCCAGAUUAUUAACCCAUUGCGCCACAGCGGAACUCCCACGAAUGUCCUUAAUGGUAUCUAGAACAGUGAAUCUUUUCCAGAAGGUUUCCAAUUGGCUUUGCACGAAUCCAUUAGAAGAAUCACUACCUAUGGCUAGUGUAGUCUUUGGGCUGCAAAAUGGAUGUUAUGUUAGCAGGCAUGGAAACUUUAAUCUGCUUGCACUCUUCAUCAGAGUUCUUGGGUGACUAGGUGCAUUGUCAAUAAAUAGUAACAUUUUGAAAGGAAUCUUUUUCUGAGCAGGUCUCAGCAGCAGGCUUAGAAUAUUCAGCAAACCAUGUUGUAAAUAAAUGUGCUAUCAUCCAGGUUUUGUUGUUCCAUUUACAGAGCCGAGGCAGAGUAGAUUUGGCAUAAUUCUUAAGGGCCUAUGAUUUUUGGAAUGGUAAAUGAACAUUGGCUUCAACUUAAAGUCACUAGCUGCAUUAGUCCCUGACAGUCAGCCUGUCCUUUGAAGUUUUCGAGCCAGGCACUGACUUCUCUCCAGCUAUGAAAGUCCUAAAUGUCAUCGUCUUCCAACAGAAGGCUGUUUGUCUACAUUGAAAAUCUGUUUAGUAUAGUCGUCUUCAUAAAUUAUCUUAGCUACAUCUGGUAACUGGCUGCAUCUUCUCCAUUAGUACCUGCUGCUCUUUGCACUUUGAUGUUACAAAGACGACUUCUUUCCUUAAACCUCAUAAACCCACCUCUGCCAGUUUCAAACUUUUCUUCAGCAGCUUCUUGACCUCUUUCAUUCUUCAUAGAACUGAAGACUUAGGGACUUGCUGUGGAUCAGCCUUUGUUAAGGGAAUAUUCACUUAGCCAGUUGUAGCCUUUAUCUGUGCUCCCUAUGGGAGUCAGUAAAGUCUGCAGAUAUUUUGCUUCUAUUCUUGUUCAGUUUCUUUGGGACUAAGUUAUUAUUUCUGUCUUUAUGUUCCAGAUGAUCCCCCAAAUAUCUACCCAUUUAAGAAAUACCCUCUUAAAUGGGUGAAACCCCAAGCACAGCACCUUUUCCCUUUUAUCUGCUGGUCUGUUCUUCAAUUUUACUUCCCCUUUUAUGUCUACCAGAACUCUUCUCUAAAACUCAACUUUAUUUCCAAAAAGUUUUCUCCUUCUCAAGCUUAAUUAUUCUUCAUUAAUUUCACUCUCAGUCUGUCAGUGCUCCUGUUCUAAGACUGAAGCACAUUUUAGAAACACUCCAGACAUGCCUUGAUUUCCUGAAAAAAUCUGAUGCCUAAGGACUUAAGUUUCCAGGCAUAGGACUAAUUGCCUUCUUGAUCUCUGGUUUUAAAACAACUUAAUUGUGUCUUUAACUUAGGUAGUUUUCAUUAAGUAGGGGCUCCCAUUUAUUGUCUGCUGGUUUUCAAUUAAAAGCCUUGUAUGGGUGUCUGCACAGCUGGAGGCUUGGAAAUCUAAUCUAAAGUCUUGGCUACAGCUCCUACAAUUUACAAAUCCAGUCAAUUUAGGAUUACAUAACGGGAAAUUAUUCUUGAGGUUCUGGACAGGGCAUAUGACUUCAAGAUUAGUCUUUUUUUGUUCUGUUUUCUCAGAAAAUUCCUUCCAACUGAUUCCCCCCACCCCCCUUUUUCAGCUGCCCCCAUGGCAUAUGGAAGUUCCUGGGCCAGGGAUCAAAUCCGAGCCCCUAUGCCAUAGCUGUGGCAAUGCCAGAUCCUUAACCCACUGCGCCAGGAUGGGGAUCAAACCAGCAACACCACAGAGACAGAGACAAAGAGGGUCAUUAACCCACUGCACCACAGUGGGAACUCCCAAGAUUUGUCUUUGGGUACUGCCUACAUAGCUUGGCAUUAACAGUUGAGAACUAGAACUUCAGACUCCAAAUGCUGUGUAAAGAACUCAUUUGUAAAGAAAUGACAGAAUUAGAAAUCAGCAUUUUUGCCAGCACCCCCCAAUAUAUAUAUAUAUAUAACACAUAUACCAAUAUAUACUAAAAUAGUUUAAUAGGGAACUCUAUGAUGAUGCAUCAGACUGACAGUACCUGAAUGCACUGAUCAAUUCUGACACUUCUAAAACCAGCACAUCAAUAUGAGGGAAACUACAUGCUCUCUUAUGAGUUGUUCUUGUAAAAAUUUCUCUGAAUGCAAAUUUAAUGGAGCGUCUAGAUCUACCACUUUGCAGGAAAAACUGGUGACAGAGAAACAUGUUAAAUGACACAAAGAUGAUACAGUAUCCAAAUUUAGAAAGUGAGGAAAAUGAUCCAGUUUCUUAACAAGCAAGUGGCAGUUAAAAUGAAAGUGAGUGUGAACUGUUACACAUAAGGCCCUUAAGGACCACACCAACCAAAUGCAAAGUAUGUAUCUCGCUAGGAUCCUCAUUGAAACAAAACAACUAUAAAGACAUCCUAAAAAGUUUUAAUUUUGAUAUGUUUUUACUUACAGAAAAGCUGCCAUAGCACAAAGAAUUCCCCCAUACCUUUUGUUUGGAUUCCCCAAAUAUUAACAUCCUACUGGCUUUCCUUUAUCCCUUUCUCUCUGUAUAUACCCAUAUUAUUUUUUUUAAAGUAAGUUACCAACAAAGUGCUCCUUUAUCUCUAAAUACUUCGGUGUAUAUUUCCUAAAGACAAGAACGUUCUCAUACAUAACCACAGUACUAUUACCAAAAUUUGGAAAUUAAUAUCUUGUGGUAUCUCUUUAUACUUCUUUAACUUGGAGCAGUUAUUUCAGUCUUUGUUUUUCAUGACCCUGAUUUCUGAAGGGUAAAGGCCAAUUUUUUUUUGCAGAUGUCCCUCAAUUGAUGAUUCUUCAGUAUAUUCACAGUAUACAUUUUUGGGAGGUACCCUCAAAAGUGAUGUUUUGUCUUGCGCACUGCAUCUUAUCAGAAGCAAACAAUAUUUGUUCUGUAACUAGUAAUGUAAAGAGAUAUUUUUGAGACAACUAGGGGAAACCGAAAUCACAUGAUACUAAACUACUGUUAAUUAUGUUAGAUGUCAUAAUGGUAUUGUGGUU